rnacentral:lncRNA from 1 species
GGAAGUUGUGACUCAUAGCCACAGUGGACUUGUCAGGGAAGUGACUCAGCACUUUAGCACCUUAGCACCCACAAGGACUGGGCAGCCUGGAACAGAAGAAAGCUGCAGGACAGUUCUCUGGAGGGGAAGAAAAUCAAUGUACACCUUUCCUCUGUGGGAUAAAAGUAAAAGCAAUUCUUGACUUUAGCAGUCUGUAAAGAAACCUGAACCUAAGUACAAGCAGAGCAACCAGAGGCUACUGAAUUUUGGGGACAUUUCUUUGCUUAUUAAUACCUCCCUCAGAGAAGGAAAGAAAAUAAAUCAGGACUGAAGCUAGUCUAAUAUGCUCCUUGCUGGUUGCCCUAAAAGAUGUGUUGGAGAAAGAAGAUUAUAGCUAAAAGUUAAACUGAGGCUCUUACCCCUUCAUCAAAAAGAGGUAAUUAUUCACUGAGCUUCUUUUAAUUACACAGAAAAUUAUUCCAGACCCUA